AAAUUCUUCAGGGGUCGGGUGCAAUUCCCAACCGGCGGUAAAGUCCGCGACCCGCGCCAGCGAUGGCACGGCUGAUUUGGUGCGAUUCCAAAACCGACAGUAAAGUCUGGAUGAGAUGAAGAAAUG
rfam:Clostridium hylemonae DSM 15053 genomic scaffold Scfld_02_2, whole genome shotgun sequence.